GGGGGCGAAACAGGAUCGACAAGGGUGUAAAGAUUGCUCUUUUACUCGGCAUUGUACCACCGUUAUCGGGCUAGAUGAAUAGUUGCAAAUGACAACUAUGCGGAGGCACGUCUCAUCGCUGCUUAAGCGAUGCGAAGGCUUCAAAUUAAGUCUUAAACCGUCGCAGGUUUAAGCGGGGUUCGAAGG
rnacentral:tmRNA from 1 species